UACGAAGGAUUCGAGCGUUAUCCGGAUUUAUUGGGUUUAAAGGGUGCGUAGGUGGACUAAUAAGUCAGUGGUGAAAGCCCGGAGCUCAACUCCGGAACUGCCAUUGAAACUGUUGAACUUGAGUACGAGAGAGGUGAGUGGAAUUCCCAGUGUAGAGGUGAAAUUCGUAGAUAUUGGGAAGAACACCGGUGGCGAAGGCGGCUCACUGGCUCGUAACUGACGCUCAUGCACGACAGCGUGGGGAUCAAACAGG
rnacentral:rRNA from 1 species